GACGAACGCUGGCGGCGUGCCUAAUACAUGCAAGUCGAGCGGAAGUUGAAGAGCUUGCUCUUCAACUUUAGCGGCGGACGGGUGAGUAACACGUGGGCAACCUGCCCUGCAGAUCGGGAUAACUCCGGGAAACCGGUGCUAAUACCGAAUAGUUUUCGCCACCUCCUGGUGGCGUACGGAAAGACGGUUUCGGCUGUCACUGCAGGAUGGGCCCGCGGCGCAUUAGCUAGUUGGUGGGGUAACGGCCCACCAAGGCGACGAUGCGUAGCCGACCUUGGAGGGUGAUCGGCCACACUGGGACUGAGACACGGCCCAGACUCCUACGGGAGGCAGCAGUAGGGAAUCUUCCGCAAUGGACGAAAGUCUGACGGAGCGACGCCGCGUGAGUGACGAAGGUUUUCGGAUCGUAAAACUCUGUUGUGAGGGAAGAACAAGUACCACUUAACUACUGGUACCUUGACGGUACCUCACCAGAAAGCCACGGCUAACUACGUGCCAGCCGCCGCGGUAAAAC
rnacentral:rRNA from 1 species